GAUAUAGAUAGUUGUGAUGAAAUCCGUGAUGUAUUUGGGCACUUUAUCUAGGAUGGAACAAGUAGUGCAACCGACUAACUUUAUG
rnacentral:ncRNA from 2 species